UACGGGGGGGGCAAGCGUUGUUCGGAAUUACUGGGCGUAAAGGGCUCGUAGGUGGCCAACUAAGUCAUACGUGAAAUCCCUCAGCUUAACUGGGGAACUGCGUGUGAUACUGGAUGGCUUGGAUUUGGGAGAGGGAUGCGGAAUUCCAGGUGUAGCGGUGAAAUGCGUAGAUAUCUGGAGGAACACCGGUGGCGAAGGCGGCAAACAGGACCGGCAUUGACGCUGAGGAGCG
rnacentral:rRNA from 1 species